rnacentral:rRNA from 1 species
CGUAGGGUGCGAGCGUUAAUCGGAAUUACGUGGGCGUAAAGCGUGCGCAGGUCGGUUUUGUAAGACAGGCGUGAAACUCCCCGGGCUCAACCGUGGGAACUGCGUUUGUGACUGCAAGGCUAGAGUAUGGCAGAGGGGGUGGAAUUCCACGUGUAGCAGUGAAAUGCGUAGAGAUGUGGAGGAACACCGAUGGCGAAGGCAGCCCCCUGGGCCAAUACUGACGCUCAUGCACGAAAGCGUGGGUAGCAAACAGGAUUAGAUACCCUGGUAGUCCACGCCCUAAACGAUGUCAACUAGGUGUUGGGUGGGUAAAACCAUUUAGUACCGGAGCUAACGCGUGAAGUUGACCGCCUGGGGAGUACGGCCGCAAGGUUA